AAUUAAAACUAUCAUAACUUAUAAAUCAAGCUUGCAAUUCUUAGUACCAAUAAUGGCCACCAGAUAGAGAUAUAGGAUUACUUUUAAAUAAUUAUUGUAGAAACGAGUAUGAUUUAAAUCAUUUAUAGAAAUCUUUCAAAGAAAAAUAAUAUGUGUUUUAUGUAUUUUACUGAUGAAAUGACCCUCACUUAAUUAGAAUAACAUGCUGAAGUAUUGUGAAAUACUGUAUAUUAAGAAUAGUUCUUUAUAGGCUUUAUGGACAGAUAAGUUUUGAGUGACUCUUGAAGGAUCAGCACCACAUCCUCUUUUACCACUGUUUAAAGAAUUUAUCUUACAGAACAGGUGCGAAUGAAUUUUGGAUAGCUUGAAUGGUUUUGUCGUGGUGAUUUUUUGAAAUAACAGUAAAAAAGGAACCAGUAAAUGUCUUUAAUUUUAUUAAAGUGCAGCUUCUAAACACUUCAAAAAAAUGUACACAUAGAAGACAAGUCAUUCUGAGGAAAUAUGCAUAGUUUCAUGACUAUACAACACUAUAUGGAUGAUAGAAAAUUUAAAAACUAUCAUACAUCUGAUGUCACUCUGUCCCUCUGUCACUGUGGGUAAUGUGUGUGUAUGUGUGUGUGUGUGUGUAAUUAGGUGUGAAACUAUCAGGGAGCAUUUAGUCUCCAGCGCCAACAUUUUACAGAACUGCCACUUUCCUGGAGUCUCCAGAAUUACUCGGUGUCAGGUUCUGAGAGAUUUAAGAUUCCAAAAAAUGAUUUAAUUAGAAUAUCAUGAAGUACUGUGAAAUACUAUAUAUUAAGACUUUAUAUAUAGGCUUUAUGAACAGAUUAGAGUGACUCGUGAAGGACCAGCACCACCUCCUCUUGUCCGAUGGUUUGAGGAAUAUAUUUUCCAGAAUCUGGGAUUAAGAUUUAGGAGCUCAUUUUUAUUCCAUCUCCUUUCCUGAAAAGUUUGUCUUGCAGAAUUGACUAAAAAUUAAUCUUCACAUUAAUUCCUAAUUCUUUUGCAAUUCUUUUUGUCAGUUCUUCUCAACCUUUUUUCUCUUCCAGCUUUCCUGGACUAUUGUAUAUCACUCAUAAAUGAUUAAAUAAAAAAAAUGGUAGUUAUUAAGAUUGAUAUGGUUUGGAAUUGGUAAAAUGUGCUAGGAAGAAAAAUCAUAAUAAAACAAUGUUUUAAUGUUUAAGUUUGGAAUAUUAACUGACAUGAAUGAAUGCUAUAUAAAUAUUGUUCAUGUUAACAUAGUUAAUGUUUAUGAAUGAAAUCUUAUUGUAACGUGUUACUAAAGUUAUAUAUAUUGUUCUGUGAAUGUGAUUUUAAAGUCUAGAUGAUUCGGAUUAACCCUUUAACUGCCGUAUCCUUCAAAACCUCACUGCCAGAGGGAUAUUGUUAAUGCAUGUUUCCGCUGGGCACAGUUUACCUGAUGCCACCGGGGUGGCGUUCGCACUGAUGGCUUGAGCCCGCCAUCGCUGCUUGCAGCU